rnacentral:rRNA from 1 species
GGAGGAAGGUGGGGAUGACGUCAAAUCAUCAUGCCCCUUAUGUCUAGGGCUGCAAACAUGCUACAAUGGCCGGUACAAAGGGCUGCGAUACCGUGAGGUGGAGCGAAUCCCAAAAAGCCGGUCUCAGUUCGGAUUGGGGUCUGCAACUCGACCCCAUGAAGUCGGAGUCGCUAGUAAUCGCAGAUCAGCAACGCUGCGGUGAAUACGUUCCCGGGCCUUGUACACACCG